UACAGAGGUCCCAAGCGUUGUUCGGAUUCAUUGGGCGUAAAGGGUGCGUAGGCGGCGCGGUAAGUCGGGUGUGAAAUCUCGGAGCUUAACUCCGAAACUGCAUUCGAUACUGCCGUGCUUGAGGACUGGAGAGGAGACUGGAAUUUACGGUGUAGCGGUGAAAUGCGUAGAUAUCGUAAGGAAGACCAGUGGCGAAGGCGGGUCUCUGGACAGUUCCUGACGCUGAGCACGAAGGCCA
rnacentral:rRNA from 1 species